AGUGAACGCUGGCGGUAGGCCUAACACAUGCAAGUCGAACGGCAGCACAGUAAGAGCUUGCUCUUACGGGUGUCGAGUGGCGGACGGGUGAGGAAUACAUCGGAAUCUACUUUUUCGUGGGGGAUAACGUAGGGAAACUUACGCUAAUACCGCAUACGACCUACGGGUGAAAGCAGGGGAUCUUCGGACCUUGCGCGAUUGUAUGAGCCGAUGUCGGAUUAGCUAGUUGGCGGGGUAAAGGCCCACCAAGGCGACGAUCCGUAGCUGGUCUGAGAGGAUGAUCAGCCACACUGGAACUGAGAAACGGUCCAGACUCCGACGGGAGGCAGCAGUGGGGAAUAUUGGACAAAGGGGGAAAGCCUGAUACAGCCAUACCGCGUGGGUGAAGAAGGACUUCGGGUUGUAAAGCCAUUUUGUUGGGAAAGAAAAACAGCAGGUUAAUACCCCGCUGUUAUGACGGUACCCAAAGAAUAAGCACCGGCUAACUUCGUG
rnacentral:rRNA from 1 species